rnacentral:misc_RNA from 1 species
CAAGAAUAUACGGUAUUUACACCGUAUGUACAGAAUAAUAUACAGCUAAUAGUGCUCAGUCUACGAGAGGAUUGCCCGUCUUGUUGGUUUGAGGUCUCUCGUUUGAACCGAGCGUGGAAAGAAUUGAAUUGUGCAUGAAUUGCUUAUCAUCAAAUCAUUGAAAAGAAAUGGAUCGAGCUGAGCCUACGCUGCUUCUACUGACUAUGACUGGACAGCAGUGGACUCUUUGUCUGACCCUGCCACCUAUAUUUGAUUUGAUGAAGGAACCUUCACUGAAGCAAUUGAUUUAGUAGCCAGCUCAACUCCAUUUAAAAGGUUAGCAGCGAAAGGG